rnacentral:rRNA from 1 species
AUUGAACGCUGGCGGCAUGCUUUACACAUGCAAGUCGAACGGUAACAGGCCUUCGGGUGCUGACGAGUGGCGAACGGGUGAGUAAUGCAUCGGAACGUGCCCAGAGGUGGGGGAUAACGCAGCGAAAGCUGUGCUAAUACCGCAUGUGAUCUGAGGAUGAAAGCGGGGGACCAGGCAGCAAUGUUUGGCCUCGCGCCUUUGGAGCGGCCGAUGUCAGAUUAGGUAGUUGGUGGGGUAAAGGCCUACCAAGCCGACGAUCUGUAGCUGGUCUGAGAGGACGACCAGCCACACUGGGACUGAGACACGGCCCAGACUCCUACGGGAGGCAGCAGUGGGGAAUUUUGGACAAUGGGCGCAAGCCUGAUCCAGCAAUGCCGCGUGCGGGAAGAAGACCUUCGGGUUGUAAACCGCUUUUGUACGGAACGAAAAGGCUCUGGCUAAUACCUGGGGCUGAUGACGGUACCGUAAGAAUAAGCACCGGCUAACUACGU